UCCUGCCUGAAGGAAGAGGAAUAGGUCCAAUUCUAACAGUGGUGCUGAUGAAGGCCGUGGCAUGGCUUAUCUCUUGGAUGAGGUCUGAUCCUCAGAUGACCCGGGUCAAGCGAAAGGUCAAUGGCCUGCAAGCGUGAUCUGUAGCAGCAAGGUGGAAUUCCAAGGUAGGGAUGGCUGAGGCCCGGAGCUCAAGUCUCUCAGAAAAAUAAAAGAUUUUCACCAAAGACUUCAGAAUAAAGCAAGAAUAAAGUCAGAUUUAAGGUGAAGAAAUCUCCGGAUUUACUUCCGCAGGCGUGAGAGUUUUAAAAACACUUGCAGGUUAUGCCGGGAAGAGGUGCUAAUCCCCCUCAGGUGUUCUGGUUUUCCUUCUCAAGCAAAACCGCUACCAGAGGUUUUGUUGAUGGUUUUCCUCUCCGUUGGGCCCAUCUCUCCCGAAACACCUUUAAUUUCCCUCUGUCUCACGUAAGGUUCCUCAGAGGACUCAGCCUGGAGUUUCUCCUGCCAACAGGUUCUUGGUUCACCUCCAGAACUUCUCCAUUUCUCCAGUUGGAGGAGACACGGCACAUGGAGAACAUUUAGGCUUAUUAAAUUCAACAUAAAGGACAUUGAGUUAAUUACAAAUAAUGGAGUUUGUUGUUUUGACCUGUUUCCUUCCAGGCUUCCUGUCACAGUCAGCUGACACCGGGUCUUCCCUCAGCUCGUCAGCUCAACGUGAUGCACCUGCCCACUCUUGCCCGACUCUCCAGCAUUGUUCCUCAGACUGAUUUCCUGGUUUCUGGUCUCGUUCCUGUCCUGGUAACCUGCUCCAAGUCUCUGCCCGCUCUCCUGAGUUCUUCAUCUCUGAGGAUUAUCAAACUAUGGAAUUAAGACUUCAGUCCUACCAGGUAGCUUUCACCUGGAGGAAGUGUUUUCAGCCCAGUAGGACAGAAAAUCUGCGGCCCGUGGGACUGGAUUUGGACACCUCUGAUAUAAUUUCUGCUUGUGUAAAAACUAUCUGCCGAGCAGGAAAGCUGCUUACCAUUCGGAGGAUAACGCUGUCGGGAGCGUCUAUCUACAGGAAAGGGAAAAAAAAUGUCCGUGAUUUCCCAAGGCAAGAUUUCCCUGUUCUGAAACUGCACCGUGCCAUUUGAUUACAGCUUAUCUGCCCCGCACAACACAGAAAAAUCAAAUUGGAAUAGGCUUGGCUUUAUUGUUUGCACUCGGUCCACCUGCUCCACAAACAAACUGAUUUGGCAGAGACACAUGAUCCCUCUCCCAGCUGAUGGCCGCCGCUCUCGUAUCUUUAGAUUUCUUGCAGCAUUUCACGCCUCCGGGAACGGUUUUUAUCUGCCAUCGGAGUAUUAGGAUUGUUUUGCCCGGGACUGUUCCUGCGUUUCUUUAUUUGAGAUUACGUGCGGUUGUGUGAUGGCUGAAAGAUUUCAAUUUAUUUCUGUAACACGCAGAAAACAAGUAAAUAAACUACUUUGAUCACGCGCCCGGAAUAUCAGGAGGGGUGAACGAUGAAAUCUGUGGAAGGGACAAGGGCAACCUGGUUUAGUUGUCCCAUACCGCCGAUGGCAGCUAAUUAUUGUAUUGUUCCGUUGUUGUAUCAUCUAAAUAAGUGCUGCCUUCCAUCAGGGUAGGUUCUGACUGUUCCAAUAAACGGCAGGAUGCCGGAUCGGUGUUGGAAUUGGCACCACAGAGCGAUUGGAGUCGGUGGGAUGUGAAGUAUCAGGUUCCCUAAAUAAAGAAUUUCCUGUUGCUGUUUCAUGUCCUUGUUUAGUGCGUCUAGAAACCCUGUCGGAGCUGCUAACUUCUGUUAGCAUCUCUGCUAAUGCAUCUCGGAGGUCAACUCCCUGGACCCGCGCUGGUGUUAUGUGUUUCCAAACUGGAAG
ensembl:lncRNA